rnacentral:rRNA from 1 species
GGAGUCUGGGCCGUGUCUCAGUCCCAAUGUGGCCGUUCACCCUCUCAGGCCGGCUAUGGAUCGUUGCUUUGGUGGGCCGUUACCCCGCCAACUGGCUAAUCCAACGCGGAGCCAUCCUGUACCACCGGAGUUUUUCACACAGGGCCAUGCGGCUCCGUGCGCUUAUGCGGUAUUAGCAGUGAUUUCUCACUGUUAUCCCCCAGUACAGGGCAGGUUCUCCACGCGUUACUCACCCGUCCGCCACUAAUCUCAAACCUCUUUGGCCGAAACCUCCAAGAUAAGAGACCCGUUCGACUUGCAUGUGUUAGGCACGCCGCCAGCGUUCAUC